rnacentral:rRNA from 1 species
UACGGAGGGUGCGAGCGUUGUCCGGAAUCAUUGGGCGUAAAGGGCGCGUAGGUGGCCCGGUCAGUUCGUGGUGAAAGCGCGGGGCUCAACCCUGCGUCGGCCAUGAAUACUGCCGCGGCUGGAGCACUGUAGAGGCAGGCGGAAUUCCGGGUGUAGCGGUGGAAUGCGUAGAGAUCCGGAAGAACACCGGUGGCGAAGGCGGCCUGCUGGGCAGUUGCUGACACCGAGGCGCGACAGCGUGGGGAGCAAACAGGG